AGUGAACGCUGGCGGUAGGCCUAACACAUGCAAGUCGAACGGCAGCACAGUAAGAGCUUGCUCUUACGGGUGGCGAGUGGCGGACGAGUGAGGAAUACAUCGGAAUCUGCUUUUUCGUGGGGGAUAACGUAGGGAAACUUACGCUAAUACCGCAUACGACCUACGGGUGAAAGCAGGGGAUCUUCGGACCUUGCGCGAUUGAAUGAGCCGAUGUCGGAUUAGCUAGUUGGCGGGGUAAAGGCCCACCAAGGCGACGAUCCGUAGCUGGUCUGAGAGGAUGAUCAGCCACACUGGAACUGAGACACGGUCCAGACUCCUACGGGAGGCAGCAGUGGGGAAUAUUGGACAAUGGGCGCAAGCCUGAUCCAGCCAUACCGCGUGGGUGAAGAAGGCCUUCGGGUUGUAAAGCCCUUUUGUUGGGAAAGAAAAGCAGCAGGUUAAUACCCCGCUGUUCUGACGGUACCCAAAGAAUAAGCACCGGCUAACUUCGUG
rnacentral:rRNA from 1 species